AUUUGCCAGGAAACUCAUAAAAUUGAUGAAAGAAGAUAUGAAUGCUCAGUUCAGGGUUGGAGCCCUAAGGCUGGCGGGAUGGAAAUAGUUCAGUUCGGGGUUGGAACUCUAAUACCGACUAGCUGGGGAGAAGUUCAGUUUAGAGUUGAAACUCUAAUGCUGAUCAACUGGGGGAAAGUUCAGUUUAGGGUUGGGGCCCUAAUGCUGACUGAGUGGACAUGAGUUCAGUUCAGGGUUUAAAACCCCAAUACGGACUGGCUGGAAAGAGUUUAGUUCAUCUUUGACUGGCUUAUUAAAGGGAAAGGUUCAGUGUAGGGUUUAAAACCCUAAUGCUGACUGAAUGGAAAAGUUCAGUUUAGGGUUUAAAACCCUAAUGCUGAUUAAAGGGAAAAGUUCAGUUUAGGGUUUAAAACCCUAAUGCUGACUGAAUGGAAAAGUUUAGUUUAGAGUUAAAAACCCUAAUGCUAACUGAAUGGAAAAGUUCAGUUUAGGGUUUAAAACCCUAAUGCUGACUAAAGGAAAAAGUUCAGUUUAGGGUUUAAAACCCUAAUGUUGACUAAAGGAAAAAGUUCAGUUUAGGGUUUAAAACCCUAAUGCUGACUGAAA
rnacentral:lncRNA from 1 species